rnacentral:rRNA from 1 species
AACGAACGCUGGCGGCAUGCCUAACACAUGCAAGUCGAACGAGACCUUCGGGUCUAGUGGCGCACGGGUGCGUAACGCGUGGGAACCUGCCCUUAGGUUCGGAAUAACUCCCCGAAAGGGGUGCUAAUACCGGAUAAUGUCUUCGGACCAAAGAUUUAUCGCCUUUGGAUGGGCCCGCGUUGGAUUAGCUAGUUGGUAGGGUAAAAGCCUACCGAGGCGACGAUCCAUAGCUGGUCUGAGAGGAUGAUCAGCCACACUGGGACUGAGACACGGCCCAGACUCCUACGGGAGGCAGCAGUGGGGAAUAUGGGACGAUGGGCGAAAGCCUGAGCCAGCAAUGCCGCGUGGGUGAUGAAGGCCUUAGGGUUGUAAAGCUCUUUUACCCGGGAUGAUAAUGACAGUACCGGGAGAAUAAGCGCCGGCUAACUCCGUG